UGGGGAAUUUUGGACAAUGGGCGAAAGCCUGAUCCAGCAAUGCCGCGUGUGUGAAGAAGGCCUUCGGGUUGUAAAGCACUUUUGUCCGGAAAGAAAUCCUUGGCUCUAAUACAGUCGGGGGAUGACGGUACCGGAAGAAUAAGCACCGGCUAACUACGUGCCAGCAGCCGCGGUAAUACGUAGGGUGCAAGCGUUAAUCGGAAUUACUGGGCGUAAAGCGUGCGCAGGCGGUUUGCUAAGACCGAUGUGAAAUCCCCGGGCUCAACCUGGGAACUGCAUUGGUGACUGGCAGGCUAGAGUAUGGCAGAGGGGGGUAGAAUUCCACGUGUAGCAGUGAAAUGCGUAGAGAUGUGGAGGAAUACGAUGGCGAAGGCAGCCCCCUGGGCCAAUACUGACGCUCAUGCACGAAAGCGUGGGGAGCAAACAGGUUAGAUACCCUGGUAGUCCACGCCCUAAACGAUGUCAACUAGUUGUUGGGGAUUCAUUUCCUUAGUAACGUAGCUAACGCGUGAAGUUGACCGCCUGGGGAGUACGGUCGUCAAGAUUAAAACUCAAUGAAUUGACGGGUCAUAGCUGUUUCCU
rnacentral:rRNA from 1 species